GAAAUGCGAUAAGUAAUGUGAAUUGCGGAAUUCAGUGAAUCAUCGAAUCUUUGAACGCACCUUGCGCUCCUUGGUAUUCCUUGGAGCAUGCCUGUUUGAGUAUCAUGAAAUCUUCAAAGUAAAUCUUUUGUUAACUCAAUUGGUUUCUACUUUGGUAUUGGAGGUCUUUGCAGCUUCACACCUGCUCCUCUUUGUUCAUUAGCUGGAUCUCAGUGUUAUGCUUGGUUCCACUCGGCGUGAUAAGUUAUCUAUCGCUGAGGACACUGUAAAAGGUGGCCAAGGUAAAUGCAGAUGAAACGCUUCUAAUAGUCCAUUGACUUGGACAAUACUUUUAUGAUCUGAUCUCAAAUCAGGUAGGACUACCCGCUGAACUUAAGC
rnacentral:misc_RNA from 1 species